GGUAAGAUGUCUGAAUUUAAAGUGAUAGACUGUAAAUCUAUUUAUGGGAUUGGUCCCUCUUACCA
rnacentral:tRNA from 1 species